UUAGCUGUCAAAUCUUUUCGAGACAUUUCCUUCCUUCCUAAGAGUCACUGUGCUAUCCUUCAGGAAGGGCUCAGUCGUUACCACAACAGAUGUCAUUUUCAACUCUACACAGGAUGAUGUCCCAACAGAGGAUCAAGUUGCAAGCACAUUACUGAGUGGAAAAGCUACUCUCAAUGCCCUAAACAUAACUUCGUUAACAGUUAAUGGUACAGAUUACUCAUCAACCACAACAACUGCUCCAGAAACAUUUACAACAACAGAGACUUCUACAAUCACAACAACUGCUCCAGAAACAUCAAUCACUAGUAUAGCAGAAACAUCUACAACAACAGAUACUUCCACAAUCACAACAACUGCUCCUGAAACAUCUGCAACAACAGAGACUUCCACAAUCACAACAACUGCUCCUGAAACAUCCACCACUAGUGCAGCAGAAACAUCUACAACAACAGAGAC